rnacentral:rRNA from 1 species
AACGAACGCUGGCGGCAUGCCUAACACAUGCAAGUCGAACGAGACCUUCGGGUCUAGUGGCGCACGGGUGCGUAACGCGUGGGAACCUGCCCUUAGGUUCGGAAUAACUCCCCGAAAGGGGUGCUAAUACCGGAUAAUGUCUUCGGACCAAAGAUUUAUCGCCUUUGGUUGGGCCCGCGUUGGAUUAGCUAGUUGGUAGGGUAAAAGCCUACCAAGGCGACGAUCCAUAGCUGGUCUGAGAGGAUGAUCAGCCACACUGGGACUGAGACACGGCCCAGACUCCUACGGGAGGCAGCAGUGGGGAAUAUUGGACAAUGGGCGAAAGCCUGAUCCAGCCAUGCCGCGUGAGUGAUGAAGGCCUUAGGGUUGUAAAGCUCUUUUACCCGGGAUGAUAAUGACAGUACCGGGAGAAUAAGCUCCGGCCAACUCCGUG